UCACCAUGUUGGCCAGGCUGGUCUGGAACCCCUGGCCUCGGGUGAUCCGCCCACCUCGGCCUCCCAAAGUGCUGGGAUUACAGAGUGUGAGCCACCACACCCGGCCAGCAAUAUAGUACUUUUUAGAAAGAUUUGUAGAUUAGAGUCCCAGUAUACAUUGUGGCUCCAACCCAUGCCUGCUUUGGAAAACAUAUUUUCUCUGUGCUAGUAUAGUCAUGGCACAUCAGCCUAUAUAUCCUCAUGUUCAGCAAGUGCAUGUUAACUGCUUUUGAAAUUAUUAUUACAAUAAAGUCUGUUACUCAGGUGCUCUCAUCAGAUGUUCCUUCAGGAACAGAAACUGAGGAGGAAGAUGAUGGCAUGAAUGACAUGAAUCACGAGGUCAUGUCAUUAAUAUGGAGUGAAGAUUUAAGGGUGCAGGAUGUGCGAAGGCUUCUUCAGAGUGCGCAUCCUGUCCGUGUCAACGUAGUGCAGUACCCAGAGCUCAGUGACCACGAGUUCAUCGAGGAAAAGGAAAACAGAUUGCUCCAAUUGUGUCAGCGAACUAUGGCUCUUCCUGUAGGACGAGGAAUGUUUACCUUGUUUUCGUACCAUCCUGUUCCAACAGAGCCAUUGCCUAUUCCUAAAUUGAAUCUGACUGGGCGUGCCCCUCCUCGGAACACAACAGUAGACCUUAAUAGUGGAAACAUCGAUGUGCCUCCCAACAUGACAAGCUGGGCCAGCUUUCAUAAUGGUGUGGCUGCUGGCCUGAAGAUAGCUCCUGCCUCCCAGAUCGACUCAGCUUGGAUUGUUUACAAUAAGCCCAAGCAUGCUGAGUUAGCCAAUGAGUAUGCUGGCUUUCUCAUGGCUCUGGGUUUGAAUGGGCACCUUACCAAGCUGGCGACUCUCAAUAUCCAUGACUACUUGACCAAGGGCCAUGAAAUGACAAGCAUUGGACUGCUACUUGGUGUUUCUGCUGUAAAACUAGGCACCAUGGAUAUGUCUAUUACUCGGCUUCCUAGCAUUCACAUUCCUGCUCUCUUACCCCCAACGUCCACAGAGCUGGAUGUUCCUCACAAUGUCCAAGUGGCUGCAGUGGUUGGCAUUGGCCUUGUAUAUCAAGGGACAGCUCACAGACAUACUGCAGAAGUCCUGUUGGCUGAGAUAGGACGGCCUCCUGGUCCUGAAAUGGAAUACUGCACUGACAGAGAGUCAUACUCCUUAGCUGCUGGCUUGGCCCUGGGCAUGGUCUGCUUGGGGCAUGGCAGCAAUUUGAUAGGUAUGUCUGAUCUCAAUGUGCCUGAGCAGCUCUAUCAGUACAUGGUUGGAGGACAUAGGCGCUUUCAAACAGGAAUGCAUAGGGAGAAACAUAAAUCACCAAAUUAUCAAAUCAAAGAAGGAGAUACCAUAAAUGUGGAUGUGACUUGUCCAGGUGCUACUCUAGCUUUGGCUAUGAUCUACUUAAAAACCAAUAACAGGUAUUUCUACCCACUCACCCUUCCUCCCACGGUGAUAGUGUGAUAUCCUCUCUGACCUUGGUUGUAAAAUUCAGUUAUCUCAUGUGUUUCUUUCCCCUGUGCUGGAUUAAGCUGAUUUUUGUUCUUUCAAGUACUCUAAGUUUUUGAAAGAAAACUUGCAGUAUUUGAAGUUAUAAAGAUUUUACCUGGAAAUAAUGUAUUUGGCUAUUUUAAUUGUAUUUGACAAUAUAGUUUUCAAUUUCUGUUCAUUUCUGUUUUGUAGUUGAUGUCAGUAACACCCAAACAAUGCCCAUGUUUGUUUUCAUUAAUUUAGCAUAUUGCUGUGAGGACUGGUUAAGCCAGAAAUACUUAUCAUUUAGUGUGAUCUUGGUUACCAUGUAAAACAAUGGUUUUUGCCUACUUCAAGAGCUUUUGUAAUUACCAAACCGUCUACCUUCCUAACUUGCUAUAUUAAUGCUGAUGCUUGAAAGUAAGAUCUUUGGCAUUUAUGCUUACACUUUGCAUGAAGAGUAAGUUGAGUACAAGACGUUAUGCCAUGUAUUAAGUCUAUUAAUUAAAAACAAAUUCUAAGAUUCAAGGAGCUUUUCAGUGUUCCACAUUUCUCCCUUUAGAAAAAGUAAAUGUGUGCAGAAUUAACAAAGUGUUUAAAAAUAGAUAUUUAUUACUUUACUAUUUGGAUGAAUGUGUAGGGCAGUGCUUCCUUGGCACUGGGGAUAUUUCAUUGAGCAAAACUAAAAAUAUCUUCCCUCAUGGAGUUUAUGUUAUAGUAAGACAUACAUGUACAUCUAUCAUAACUAUUACAUUAGAAGGUGUGAAGUAUUGUGAAAAAUAUGUAGAGCAGUAGUGGAGUGGGAAGAAAUGUUUUGAAAUAGAGCUUGAGAUUCUUGAUUGUCUUGCCCUCUACUUGAACAGUGU
rnacentral:sRNA from 1 species